rnacentral:rRNA from 1 species
CCUACGGGAGGCAGCAGUGGGGAAUCUUGCGCAAUGGGCGAAAGCCUGACGCAGCCAUGCCGCGUGAAUGAUGAAGGUCUUAGGAUUGUAAAAUUCUUUCACCGGGGACGAUAAUGACGGUACCCGGAGAAGAAGCCCCGGCUAACUUCGUGCCAGCAGCCGCGGUAAUACGAAGGGGGCUAGCGUUGCUCGGAAUUACUGGGCGUAAAGGGAGCGUAGGCGGAUAGUUUAGUCAGAGGUGAAAGCCCAGGGCUCAACCUUGGAAUUGCCUUUGAUACUGGCUAUCUUGAGUACGGAAGAGGUAUGUGGAACUCCGAGUGUAGAGGUGAAAUUCGUAGAUAUUCGGAAGAACACCAGUGGCGAAGGCGACAUACUGGUCCGUUACUGACGCUGAGGCUCGAAAGCGUGGGGAGCAAACAGGAUUAGAUACCCUGGUAGUCCACGCUGUAAACGAUGAGUGCUAGUUGUCGGCAUGCAUGCAUGUCGGUGACGCAGCUACGCAUAAGACACUCCGCCGUCGGGAGGUACGGUCGCGAGAUAACUACAAGAAGUAGUACGCGNGAGACGUGCGACGGACGACGACGAGGGAGGAGG